GAAGUAUUCAGAAGAAAACCCCGUAUUUCCUAUCAUUUCACUGACAAAUACUUCAGUUGGUAUUUCUAACAGCAGGAAUUGGGGCUAAGAAGCAGAAAAAAGAACAAAGCAAUAAAAAGGGUAUCAACCAC